AGCAGCCGCGGUAAUUCCAGCUUCAAUAGCGUAUAUUAAAGUUGUUGCAGUUAAAAAGCUCGUAGUUGAAUUUCGGGAUCAAUACGUCGGUCGUGCUUCGGUACGUACUGGCGUAAUUGAUUUCUCCCUUCUGACGAACCAUGAUGUCAUUAACUUGGUGUCAUGGGAAAUCAGGACUGUUACUUUGAAAAAUUAGAGUGUUUAAAGCAGGCUCACGCUUGAAUACAUUAGCAUGGAAUAAUGAAAUAGGACGUUCGAUCCUAUUUUGUGGUUUUUAGGAUCAACGUAAUGAUUAAUAGGGAUAGUUGGGGCAUUAGUAUUCAAUUGUCAGAGGUGAAAUUCUUGGAUUUAUUGAAGACUAACUACUGCGAAAGCAUUUGCCAAGGAUGUUUUCAUUAAU
rnacentral:rRNA from 1 species